UACGUAGGGAGCAAGCGUUGUUCGGAUUUACUGGGCGUAAAGGGCGCGUAGGCGGCAGAUCAGGUCAGCUGUGAAAUCUCCGAGCUUAACUCGGAACUGUCAGCUGAUACUGUUUUGCUAGAGUGCGGAAGGGGCAAUCGGAAUUCUUGGUGUAGCGGUGAAAUGCGUAGAUAUCAAGAGGAACACCUGAGGUGAAGACGGGUUGCUGGGCCGACACUGACGCUGAGUGCGCGAAAGCCAGGGGAGCAAACGGG
rnacentral:rRNA from 1 species